rnacentral:rRNA from 1 species
GAUCAUGGCUCAGGAUGAACGCUGGCGGCAUGCCUAAUACAUGCAAGUCGAACGAGAGGAAGGAAAGCUUGCUUUUCUAGAAUCUAGUGGCGAACGGGUGAGUAACACGUAGGUAACCUGCCCAUGUGCCCGGGAUAACUUCUGGAAACGGAUGCUAAAACCGGAUAGGUAGCAGACAAGCAUUUGACUGCUAUUAAAGUGGCCUUAGCCAUGAACAUGGAUGGACCUGCGGUG